rnacentral:lncRNA from 1 species
UCUGACCUUGGCCAGCAGCAGUUUCGUGGCAUAAAGGUAACAAGACUUGCAGGUGCUCUCACUAACAGGGUCAACCUGAUAUCCAUAGCCUGAAGGUUACCACUGCACAGGUGUGUUAUGAAGACUCCACCUGCCCCCUGCUCCCUACCAGUGACCACCAUCAAGAUUUGGGAAUGGGAUGACAAAGGUUUAGAACUCAGUGUGGCUGCCAGGGAGAGGGUGUUUGAAGUAAAUACUAGGAAAUGCAUCCCUUUUACCUUCCCUCAGGCUGGGGCAGCUUGUCGGGUACUGUGUGGGAGGCGAAGGGUUAGGAGAAGGGGGUUGUGAAUGGAUGGAGGACUAUGAAAAAGGAUUGCUUUGUGCUUGCUCCUGUAACUGCCUCUCUUUGAAAGAUGGUAGUGAAUAUAACCAUAUUAAAGGAAUGUUCCUGAGUCCAGCUAGCCUGAGACUAGGAAGACGGGGCAGGGAGGGCAGCACGGCCCCCACCUCACAAUCAAGACAGAUUUGCACAGAUGCCUGAGUGAAGUAGGCAUUGAUUUGCCUCCUUCCAUUUGACCCUCUGCAAGUUGUGCCCAAACCAACCCCAGAGAUGCCUCCUUCAUCUUCCAAUAGCUUCCAGGUAGCAGACUCCUAACACUUUCUUAGUAUUCCGUGUUGGUGGGCAAAGAGCAGGGUUUUCCUCACCUCUUCACACAGGUCAGGGGGACCUGGCUAGGUGUCGGUGGUAACAGAGAACUCCUGCAGCCCUGCAGCUUACCAUAGCACAGAGAACCUAUCUUUGUCCUAGGAGGCACAGUGGGCAGCCUGGCACAGACGGCUGGAGGUUCUGCCCUCUGCAGCAUGCUUAUAGGACCAACUGUGACCUUAUGGUGAUCCUUACCAGCACAGUGACCCAGGAUGAUCAUCAAGACACAAGGGGGAAACCAUCAUUGUCACACUCAAUCCUGGAAAAUAAGAUCUCUCCAUCUAGAUCUGAUCCUGGUGAAAAUGUGUUCUAUCUCAAGGGAGACUAACAUGGAGACUGCUUCCUUAGCAGUCUUGACUGCUUUUCUCUUCCUGGAAAAGCUUUUAAGAAAUCAGAGUAAUGGAUGGAGAAAGGGUUGGGUGGAUCCAUGAUGAUUCUUCUACUAGAUUUUAUCUCCCUUGAGUAAAUGAUUCCACAAUCCCUCUGGAAAAGAUGACCACAAGGUGAAGGAAUUUCAGAUAAAGGAUAUUGGGGGUG